GCGCGCCCGCCGCCGGCCUGUCACGGCAAGUCGGCCAUGGCGCCUUGGAAUCUGGUCGAGCCGCUGGGCCACAAGCCCACCGACAGGCGCAGCAGGGAUAUCGCCGGCAGCAGCCGUAGUGAUCCCGCGCAGUUCGCCCGCUGAGCACUCUGCGGGCCGACGUGAAUGCUCGACACCCCU
rnacentral:ncRNA from 1 species